CCUACGGGUGGCAGCAGUGGGGAAUAUUGGGCAAUGGGCGCAAGCCUGACCCAGCAACGCCGCGUGAAGGAAGAAGGCUUUCGGGUUGUAAACUUCUUUUCUCAGGGACGAAGCAAGUGACGGUACCUGAGGAAUAAGCCACGGCUAACUACGUGCCAGCAGCCGCGGUAAUACGUAGGUGGCAAGCGUUAUCCGGAUUUACUGGGUGUAAAGGGCGUGUAGGCGGGAAAGCAAGUCAGAUGUGAAAACCAUGGGCUAAACCUGUGGCCUGCAUUUGAAACUGUUUUUCUUGAGUACUGGGGAGGCAGACGGAAUUCCUAGUGUAGCGGUGAAAUGCGUAGAUAUUAGGAGGAACACCAGUGGCGAAGGCGGUCGGCUGGACAGCAACUGACGCUGAGGCGCGAAAGCGUGGGGAGCAAACAGGAUUAGAUACCCUAGUAGUC
rnacentral:rRNA from 1 species